UGUGGGAAUAUUGCACAAUGGGGGAAACCCUGAUGCAGCAACGCCGCGUGAGCGAUGAAGGCCUUCGGGUUGUAAAGCUCUGUCUUCUGGGACGAUAAAGGCCGGUCCAGAAGGGGAAAGCCCCGGCUACUUCCUGCCCGCCACCCGCGGUAUAUAAAAA
rnacentral:rRNA from 1 species